CCUACGGGAGGCAGCAGUGGGGAAUAUUGCACAAUGGGGGGAACCCUGAUGCAGCGACGCCGCGUGAGUGAAGAAGUAUUUCGGUAUGUAAAGCUCUAUCAGCAGGGAAGAAAAUGACGGUACCUGACUAAGAAGCCCCGGCUAACUACGUGCCAGCAGCCGCGGUAAUACGUAGGGGGCAAGCGUUAUCCGGAUUUACUGGGUGUAAAGGGGGCGCAGACGGCUGUGCAAGUCUGGAGUGAAAGGCGGGGGCCCAACCCCCGGACUGCUCUGGAAACUGUAAAGCUGGAGUGCAGGAGAGGUAAGCGGAAUUCCUAGUGUAGCGGUGAAAUGCGUAGAUAUUAGGAGGAACACCAGUGGCGAAGGCGGCUUACUGGACUGCAACUGACGUUGAGGCUCGAAAGCGUGGGGAGCAAACAGGAUUAGAUACCCGGGUAGUC
rnacentral:rRNA from 1 species